rnacentral:rRNA from 1 species
CACGUAGGCACCAAGCGUUGUCCGGAUUUAUUGGGCGUAAAGAGCUCGUAGGCGGUUCGGUAAGUCGGGUGUGAAAACUCUGGGCUCAACCCAGAGCCGCCACCCGAUACUGCUGUGACUCGAGUGCGGUAGGGGUGCGGGGAAUUCCUGGUGUAGCGGUGAAAUGCGCAGAUAUCGGGAGGAACACCAGUGGCGAAGGCGGUUGCCUGGAGCUUUGCUGACGCUGAGGCGCGAAAGCGUGGGGAGCGAUCCGG